GCUGGCUGGGCCUGGAGCCCCCUCGACAAGGAAAGCAAUUCAGCAGGAAAAGAAAAAUAGGAGCGGAGUCACUCGGCACCCAUCAUGGGAAGCAAAGCUAACGGGAACAGGCAGGAGCAUUCAACAUCUAUCUCUGACUGUUUUAGAUAAACAGUUUUACCAUCCUUGUGGAAGGCUUCUCUCAUGUCCCCACAUGGAGCUGGAGCUAACAGAGGGAGCUCAUCCGCACUCUCCCCGGGUUGGAUUCGAACCUGGCAGCCUUCAGGUCAGCAACCCAACCUUCAAGUCGCAAGGCUUUAACCCACUACACCACCGGUGGCAUCUCCUGGGCAACGUCCUUGCAGACAGCCCAUUCUCUCACACCAGAAGCGACUUGCAGUUUCUCAAGUCGCUCCUGACAUGAAAAAAAAGAUAAACAGUAGAUUUUGUUUCUCUAAGGAUUCCUCUUUCUUUACCAACAGCAUUUGUUGCCUUUUCUAUAACGAAGAAUAUCUGUGGAACACCUUUUGAAUAUCUGCAUUAUCAGCAAUUAUCUCUUUCCCCUCUUGUAUCUUUAUUUCUCUCUCUCUCUCUGUUUCUUUUUAUAACUUAAACGCCAACAAUCUCCCUGGCAUAUUUGCAAAUUCAACGUUCUUUGGCUUUUGCAUAAUGCAUUUUUUUUUCUCUCGAUCUCAAGUCACAGUUAGCACUGAUAGCCGUCUCUGUAAAAUUUUAAUAUAUGAUUCAUCACAGCCAUUUUUUGAAGGAGAUUUCUCUAAUUCUUCUACCAGAUGCAUCUUGUAUAUAUUUUGGCAUAAUGAGACACAGGCGGUAUUUAUAUUUUGAGAUACUGAAACCCCAUCUGAUAAUUUCAACUCGGUCUUUUCAUUCACAUUUUUUUUCGAAUAUAUGACUUCCAGUGCUAACUUCAUUAUUUGGAUUUAAAGAGAUUGAUGAUGCACAUAAAUUUUUGCUUAUCUUGCAGAAUGAAGACAGCUUGACGCCACUUUAAAUGGCGUGUCUAAAUGUCAUGGAAACACGGGAGUUGUGGUUUUACAAGGUCGUGAGCCUUCUCUGCCAAACUACAACUCCUAUUCCAACAAAAGAAAAUGACAAGCAGUUUUCUCUCACAAUUGUGUGUCUCUAUGGCAAGGACAUCCUCUUGCAUCUGCCCUCCAAGGUUUCGUGAGCAAGCAUGCAAAUGACCUGACCGGAGGCUGCUUGGUUUAAAUAUAGGCAGUGCCAGGAGGGCAUCCGGCGUGGCACAUGGAGAAGAGACAAACACAGAGAUGGAAACACCCCUCGAAAACACCGCGAGUUUGCUUCUGAAUUCUUCUGGAGUGGCCACAUGCUCAUAUGCUCAAUGCUUCUUGGCUUGAUGACAAUUAGGGGAGACAAUGUCAGCCAAUUUGUCAUCAGGUGGAUUGCAGGCCUCUCUAAUGCUAUAUAUUCAACGUUCUCAUAGGUGCAAUCUGCACUGAUUCUGGUAGAAUAGAAUCCCACUUACACGACUUCCGCUAAUUAUAAUAUUAUAAUGGAAUACAAUAUUAUACUACUAAUAAUGCAAUAUAAUUAUAUUAAUUAUAUAUUAUAUAUUAAAUGUAAUAUUACUAAUAAUAUUACCAUAUAAUGAUAUAGUACAAUAUAGUAAUUUAAUGCUUAUAUUGUGCUAUGCUAAUAAUAUAUUGUAUGUUCAUUUGAUUUGUAAGCCGCUCUGAGUCCCCUUUGGGGUGAGAAGAGAGGGAUAUAAAUGUAGUAAAUAUUACUAUUUACUAUAAAAUUAUUACUAAUAAUAUUACCAUAUAAUGAUAUAGUACAAUAUAGUAAUUUAAUGCUUAUAUUGUGCUAUGCUAAUAAUAUAUUGUAUGUUCAUUUGAUUUGUAACCUGCUCUGAGUUCUCACCGCGGGGUAAGAAGAGCGGGAUAUAAAUGUAGUAAAUAUUACUAUUUACUAUAAAAUUAUUACUAAUAAUAUUACCAUAUAAUGAUAUAGUACAAUAUAGUAAUUUAAUGUUCAUAUUGCGUUAUGCUAAUAAUAUAUUGUAUGUUCAUUUGAUUUGUAAGCCGCUCUGAGUCCUCUUCGGGGUAAGAAGAGCAGGAUAUAAAUGUAGUAAAUAAAUAUUACUAAUAAUAUUACCAUAUAAUGAUGUAGUACAAUAUAGUAAUUUAAUGCUUUAACAACACAACCGUUCAAUGCUAAGGCUUCCCCAUCUGCACAGGGUUCCACACUUCGCACUUUAACAACACAACCGUUCAAUGCUAAGGCUUCCCCAUCUGCACAGGGUUCCAUACUUCGCACUUUAACAACACAACUGUUCAAUGCUAAGGCUUCCCCAUCUGCGCAGGGUUCCACACUUCGUACUUUAACAACACAACCGUUCAAUGCUAAGGCUUCCCCAUCUGCGCAGGGUUCCAUACUUUGCACUUUAACAACACAACCGUUCAAUGCUCAGGCUUCCCAUCAAAUGGAACUGAUCUUUGUAGGUUCGACCUAUUUGCCGACUUAGCAUAGACCCACAGGUAUGCCUUCUCAGUAUUAUACUUAGCACUUUAAUGCCUUCAUCAGUUGGGCAACUACCCCUCCCUGAUGACUCUGACAUAUUUUGCACUUUGGCCCAGAUCUGUGAUUUUAACUCAUGUUUUUAACACCUUAUUUUGUAUGUUGACCUUUUAUGACUGUUCAAUGCUAAGGCUUCCUUCCAAAUGGAACUGUAGAGGAGAGUCUACUGAACGAGUGAGUACCUGCCACAGACCAGGACUGCCAUCUGUUGAGGAUUAUGAAGGUGGAGGCAUUACUUUUCAUUCAACCCUCGUAAUAUGAAAUAUUUUGUGGUGGCUUAGUCUUUUUUGGGCAACUAAGUCCCACCAGCCUUACAAGAGACCGGCUUCUGAUCUGAAGUUGGAAUUGCUACUGUGGUUCAAAUGCCCACUGGCUCCACUGGCUAGGAAAUUCUUGGGAGUUGUAGUUGAGUGACCAGGGUGAGUGUAGGAUUAGGUCUACUCAUUGCUGAAGGGAAAACUAAAUCCUUUAGGCAUAUCAUAGGCCGGGCUAGAGCACAGGAAGAAAGGAAGCAUGUACAAAUGAUCUCUCAGUCACUUGCAUUCCAACUUUCCUGCUGUGUCAUUGAGAAACUGCACACUUUGAGGAGCAUCAAAUGUGUUUGAGUCUAAAUCCAUCAGCCGGCCGGGGCCCUGUUUCCAUGGCAACAGGGCUAGGUGACAGCUACCCCGGCCGUGACAAUCGCCAUCGCCUUCUUUUGCACAACCGCCACCCAAGAGUCAGUGGGCUGAAAUGUCUGCCACAGCUGCCUGUGUGAGAGCUAAUGGAGGCUUCUCCAUCAUCGCCAAGCCAUCUCUACAACAACUAGCCAUGUUUGGUCGCUACAACCAUCUGCUUUCCAGACUCCUCCUCUCCCCCCCCCCCCACACACACACACACAAACCCAGACAACAUGUAGCCGGGAGCGAGUGGGUGGGUGGUCUCAGCCCAAGUGACGGUGCGUGUGGGUGUUGUUGUUGUGCGUCUACAUGGGAAAAGAAAACUUGGAGAGACUUCUUGACGUAAGCGAGAACCAUUUGGCACUCCUCGUGAGACGAAGGGCGUGUUCGUGGAGGGGUUAUGUAAACUGAAACUGUCUGGUUGCUGUCGGGAUACUAAAACACAUUGCCGUCGGGGCCUUACACACACACACACAAAAGGCAAACAGAGAAGGGUUAGAUUUGCACAGGGAUGGAGUGACAAGGUUUAAGGCACAUUACCUAUAUGCAAACAGCCCUGAAUCUGCAAAGCUGGCAGGAGCCAAGGCUCCAGUGUUUGUAAUCCAUGAAUAGAGCCUCAAACAGAAAAGCAUCUUAGUUUUGGCCUCCCAGAAUCUCAUUUUUAUCCCUGCUGCUACCAUCCCAGUAUAUGUCACUGCUCCAGAACUGGUUCUGAAAGAGUAGCGGAAGUUCUCUGGGAUUUCAGAGAACGCUCUUUCUCAGCCUACUAAGAAAAAACAGAGUCUGGACCUAGGGCUUUCUCCCUCCAAAACAGAUGCUCUGGUGCUCUAGAUCCUCUCUAAUUGCAAGCUGCAUUAUAACCUCUAGAUCAGGGGUCCCCAAACUUUUUAAGCAGAGGGUCAGUCCACAAUCCUUCAGACUGUUGAGGGGCCGAAUUAUCAUUUGAAAAAACAAAAAACAAAUUCCUUUGCAUACUGCACAUGUCUUAUUUGUAGUGCAACAACAACAACAAUGAAAGAACAAUACAAUAUUUAAAAAUGAAAACAAUUUUUACCAACAUAAACCUCUUAGGAUUUCAAUGGAAAGGGUGGGCCUGCUAAUGGCCAAUGAGAUAGCCAAGUUAAUUAGGAUUGUUGUUGUUGUUGUUGUUGUUGUUGUUGUUGUUGUUGUUGUUGUUGUGUGCCUUCAGGUCAUGUCAGCCGAGCCUAAGUCUAAAAUUAAUUAUUUAUUUACUGCAUUUAUUUACUACAUUUAUAUCCCACCCUUCUCACCCCGAAGGGGACUCAGAGCAGCCGUAUGUACAUACAAUAUAUUAUAUUAUUAGCAUAACACAAUAUUAGCACUAUAUAUUACUAUAUUGAACUACACCACUAUACUAUUAUAUAAUAUGUAAUAUAUAUAUACAGUAGAGUCUCACUUAUCCAAGCUAAAUGGGCCGGCAGAAGCUUGGAUAAGCGAAUAACUUGGAUAAUAAGAAGGGAUUAAGGAAAAGCCUAUUAAACAUCAAAUUAGGUUAUGAUUUUACAAAUUAAGCACCAAAACAUCCUGUUAUACAGCAAAUUGGACAGAAAAGGUAGUUCAAUACGCAGUAAUGUAUUUACGAAUUUAGCAUCAAAAUAUCAUGAUAUAUUCAAAACAUUGACUACAAAAAUGGCUUGGAUUAUCCAGAGGCUUGGAUAAGCGAGGCUUGGAUUAGUGAGACUCUACUGUAACAUAUAAUUAAUAUUAUUAUAUGGUACAGUAUUACUAUUAGUAUUAUAUUGUAUAGCAUAAGAUUAUUAUUAAUAUUAUAUGUAUAUACAAUAUAUUAUUAAAACUGAUGUAAAAAUAUUAUAUUAUAAAACUGAGGGCGGGGGCCAGGUAAAUGACCUUGGAGGGCCGCAUCCGGCCCCCGGGCCUUAGUUUGGGGACCCCUGCUCUAGAUCAUCUCUAUGAGGGUUGAAUGAAAAGUAAUGCCUCCACCUUCGUAAUUCCUCAACAGAUGGCAGUCCUAGUACGCAGCAGGCCCUAGCUUGUUCAGUAGACUCUCCUCUACAGUUAAUAAUAAUAAUAAUAAUAAUAAUAAUAAUAAUAAUAAUAAUAAUAAUAAUAAUAACUUUAUUCUUAUACCCCGCCCCAUCUCCCCGAAGGGACUCGGGGUGGCUUACAUGGGGCCAUGCCCAAACACCACAAUAUAAAAGCAAACAAAACAAUAAAGCAAAUCACUCAACAAUAAAAACAACAAUAUCGAUAAAAACAGUCAUAAAAGGUCAACAUACAAAAUAAGGUGUUAAAAACAUGAGUUAAAAUCACAGAUCUGGGCCAAAGUGCAAAAUAUGUCAGAGUCAUCAGGGAGGGGUAGUUGCCCAACUGAUGAAGGCAUUAAAGUGCUAAGUAUAAUACUGAGAAGGCAUACCUGUGGGUCUAUGCUAAGUCGGCAAAUAGGUCGAACCUACAAAGAUCAGUUCCAUUUGAUGGGAAGCCUGAGCAUUGAACGGUUGUGUUGUUAAAGUGUGAAGUAUGGAACCCUGCCAGAUGGAGAAGCCUUGGCAUUGAACGGUUGUGUUGUUAAAGUGCAAUGUAUGGAGCCCGGCACAGACGGGGAAGCCUGAGCAUUGAACGGUUGUGUUGUUAAAAUGUGAAGUAUGGAACCCUGUGCAGAUGGGGAAGCCUUAGCAUUGAACGGUUGUGUUGUUAAAGUGCAAAGUAUGGAGCCCGGAACAGACGGGGAAGCCUUAGCAUUGAACGGUUGUGUUGUUAAAGUGUGAAGUAUGGAACCCUGCCAGACGGAGAAGCCUUAGCAUUGAACGGUUGUGUUGUUAAAGUGCAAAGUAUGGAGCCCGGCACAGACGGGGAAGCCUGAGCAUUGAACGGUUGUGUUGUUAAAGUGCAAAGUAUGGAAUCCUGCGCAGACAGGGAAGCCUUAGCAUUGAACGGUUGUGUUGUUAAAGUGCCAAAUAUGGAACCCUGCGCAGACGGUCGGUCAAUGCAACUUAAGCAACGUGCAAUUCUUGACAGCAGAAGGUGUCACCGCAAAGGAGAUUCAGGAGAGAAUGCAAGCUGUUUGUGGUGAUUGUGUUGAUGUGAGUACUGUGUGUCAUUGGGCGAGUAAGUUUAAAGAUGUUGAGGUGGGAACAUCUGACUUGCGUGACAAACAAAGAGUUGGACGUCCUGUGACAGCAACCACUGAAUUUUACAAGCAAAAGUUUGACAGAUUGAUUCAGGACGAUUGUUGUAUCCCUCAGAGAGAAAUUUCAAGCAUCAUUGACAUUUCACAAGAAUGAGUGGGUCACAUUAUUGCUUUGCUUGGCUAUCGGAAGAUCUGUGCAUGAUGGGUCUUGUGAGACACUGGUUGUGGAAACCGAGUGUCGACUUCUUCCAUGACGGCUUCAGAAAACAUGUUCAUUGUUGGCAGAAAUGUAUCCAAUUGUCUGGUGAUUGUGUGGAAAAGUGAAAAGUGAUUGUUAAAGAGUACAUUCUAAGGGUUAUUUCUGUGUUGGAUUUAUUAAAAUAUUCCCAUCCAAACCCAAGUAA